CGCUUUUUUUUUAGAAAGGAAGCUUCUUCCCCAAAAUUUAAAAAAAAUUGAAAAUUAUUCCUUCUGAAAAUAUCAUCGCGCUCUUGACCUCGAAGCUGACUGCUGAAUGCGAUUAGGAAAGAAGAUUCCUGAAGAUGCACCAGACUGAUUCUGGCAAGCCGUCUGUCGUCUGGAUAUGCACUGUUGUUCGUUAUGGUCAGCAAUCUUCUUCGUUCGUCCUUUCGUUUUCCUGACCACGAUGAUGACAAGCAGCUCUCAUGCUCAGGAUUCUGAAAGCUGGAGCAGCUCUGCUUACCUCGACCACUGAACUUACAAC